AGGUCCGGGCAGCCGAAGAGUGUGGUAGGUAACGGUCGUCAGCGCAAGGGUCAUUUCGUCGCUGGGAAGGGACGGCCCUCGCCCGCGGUGAUGGUGGUUAGCAAGAUGACCAAAGAUGCGCAGAUGAGAGCAGCGAUUAACCAAAAGUUGAUAGAAACUGGAGAAAGAGAACGCCUCAAAGAGUUGCUGAGAGCUAAAUUAAUUGAAUGUGGCUGGAAGGAUCAGUUGAAGGCACACUGUAAAGAGGUAAUUAAAGAAAAGGGACUAGAACACGUUACUGUUGAUGACUUGGUGGCUGAAAUCACACCAAAAGGCAGAGCCCUGGUACCUGACAGUGUAAAGAAGGAACUCCUACAAAGAAUAAGAACAUUCCUUGCUCAGCAUGCCAGCCUUUAAGAUUGAAUUAGAUUGUGUUGUUUUGUGGUUUUAUUUCUAAAGUAAAACUUGCCACAAAUUAGGAAUCGACUUCCCAAAAUAAAAUCCUUUUUUGUAUGAUGGUAUACAGUUUUCAGUAAUGAUGUAUACGUUGUAUUGAUUUUUUUCCCUAAAUGUGUUAUUUUAAUAAAUAUCUCAUGAAUGA